UACGAAUGGAGCAAGCGUUGUUCGGAAUCACUGGGCUUAAAGCGUGCGUAGGCGGACAUGAAAGUCAGGAGUGAAAUCCCGGGGCUCAACCCCGGAAUUGCUUUUGAAACUCCAUGUCUGGAAUCCGGGAGGGGUUAGUGGAAUUCCGAGUGUAGAGGUGAAAUUCGCAGAUAUUCGGAGGAACACCAGUGGCGAAGGCGACUGACUGGACCGGCAUUGACGCUGAGGCAAGAAAGCGUGGGUAGCAAACAGG
rnacentral:rRNA from 1 species